UUUUAGCCCCGAUAGAAGUGGAAAUCCUUUUUUUCCAGAUUGGUAGAUCUAAAAAAAAAAGAUUGGAACGGAUAGCGGGUAGAUCU
rnacentral:sRNA from 1 species